rnacentral:tRNA from 1 species
GCGGGUGUAGUUCAGUGGCAGAACACCAGCUUCCCAAGCUGGAUAUGAGGGUUCGAUUCCCUUCACCCGCUCCA